UACGUAGGUGGCAAGCGUUAUCCGGAUUUACUGGGUGUAAAGGGCGUGUAGGCGGCUUUGCAAGUCAGAAGUGAAAUCCAUGGGCUUAACCCAUGAACUGCUUUUGAAACUGCAGAGCUUGAGUGGAGUAGAGGUAGGCGGAAUUCCCGGUGUAGCGGUGAAAUGCGUAGAGAUCGGGAGGAACACCAGUGGCGAAGGCGGCCUGCUGGGCUCUAACUGACGCUGAGGCACGAAAGCGUGGGUAGCAAACAGG
rnacentral:rRNA from 1 species